CAGUCGCCGCGGUAAUACGUAGGGUGCAAGCGUUAAUCGGAAUUACUGGGCGUAAAGCGUGCGCAGGCGGUUUGUUAAGACAGAUGUGAAAUCCCCGGGCUCAACCUGGGAACUGCAUUUGUGACUGGCAAGCUAGAGUCUGGCAGAGGGGGGUGGAAUUCCGCGUGUAGCAGUGAAAUGCGUAGAUAUGCGGAGGAACACCGAUGGCGAAGGCAGCCCCCUGGGCCAACAUUGACGCUCAUGCACGAAAGCGUGGGGAGCAAACAGGAUUAGAUACCCGCGUAGUCCCUGUCUCUUAUAC
rnacentral:rRNA from 1 species